GAUGAACGCUGGCGGCGUGCCUAAUACAUGCAAGUCGAACGAAACUUCUUUAUCACCGAGUGCUUGCACUCACCGAUAAAGAGUUGAGUGGCGAACGGGUGAGUAACACGUGGGCAACCUGCCCAAAAGAGGGGGAUAACACUUGGAAACAGGUUCUAAUACCGCAUAACCAUAGUUACCGCAUGGUAACUAUGUAAAAGGUGGCUAUACUACCGCUUUUGGAUGGGCCCGCGGCGCAUUAGCUAGUUGGUAGGGUAAAGGCUUACCAAGGCAAUGAUGCGUAGCCGAAUUGAGAGGUUGAUCGGCCACAUUGGGACUGAGACACGGCCCAAACUCCUACGGGAGGCAGCAGUAGGGAAUCUUCCACAAUGGGCGAAAGCCUGAUGGAGCAACGCCGCGUGGGUGAAGAAGGUCUUCGGAUCGUAAAACCCUGUUGUUAGAGAAGAAAGUGCGUGAGAGUAACUGUUCACGUUUCGACGGUAUCUAACCAGAAAGCCACUGCUAACUACGUG
rnacentral:rRNA from 1 species